rnacentral:rRNA from 1 species
CAUUAUAGUCCCUCAAGCUGGCUGUACCAAAUCGAAUGGCACGCUACUACAUCACCAAAGCUACGAAGGAGAUGCUCUUGGAGGUCAAGUCUGGCGUAACGGAGGUGUGCGUUUGAGCCGCAGAUCUUGCGUCGCCUACCAGCAAGGACGCAUCUCACUAUUUCUGCUUUGUAGAGGCAGAUCGGUUGCCGGGUAGGCCACCGGAGAUUAUGACAGGUGCUGCUUGCUGCUAGGUUCUCCAAGAGUGUCUGCUCUCCUGUUCGUGGCUUUGGGAAAGAGAGCCGUGUCGUUGGGUUGAACGACCAUCUUCUCCGUUGCAUUCCAUGUCUAAGGCGGAGCAGUAAGGACAGGUAUGAAUCUCUCCCUACUCUCCCGUUAUUCUCUUAAUUCUUCUCUUGCUUGGCACAAUAUAUGUACUUUGUAAGUGGAUUUACUUUGUUGACUUUUAAAUAAAGUCAGAGGGAAGGUUGAUUUACAUGUUCUGUUAAAUUAUAAUUUGGGAGAUGACCUCAUACUUUGUUUUGCUGUUCAUCUAACGGUCAUUAAUUAGAUAUACAUUAUAGAGAUUUUUGGCUUGACAUUAUUUUUUAGUUUACAUUCUACCCAACUUUGAUUAUUGCCUCUUCAACAUAUCUGUAGCCAUUAUAUGGAGCUUCAUACAACAAAGCGUAUGUCCAUUAUAUCCAUCCACUAUGUAUAGCCCCGAUGUAUAUUUUUUAUAUAGUGAUUGGUCUCUUUUCAUUUAAAGAGUUUGUAGGCAAAGGCGGGUUUUGGGCUUCCUCAUUGCUGGUGCCAUCGCCUUUCACCCAUUAAAUUGCUACAACUUUGCAUCAUUUCUACUUCGUCAAGAGUGGCUUAUUCUUGACAUGUAAGUUUCCCCAUUGUAGGUGGUUUAAUGGUAUUAUUUUUUUGUUGAUAACAUAUAUUAGCAAGUUAUACUACCUAUAUGUAUAUUUAGGACAAAGCAAGAAGGAUUAAACAUAUUAACUGAAAUUUGGUUCAUAUAUCUUAAUCGACAUGCAAUGGAUUUUUUGCCUAUGCUGUAGGCGAUGCCUAUAAUAUUGCAGUUUUUCCUCACGGUCAUGGUUUUCUUGAACGAAACAGGCCAUAGGCUAGAAUAGUUGUUACCAAGCAUAUAAAAUUCACCAAAAGUGCAUGUCCUAAUGUAUUUAAAAUAAUUAUAAUGUAAUAUGUUUUUGAUAGUGCUAACAUUUGACCUUUGUUAUCUGGUAAGUGUCCUCCUUAUAUUAAUGGAUAUCAAUUAUUCUUACUAUUAUCUUAGUAAACAUAAAUAGUUUGCCUUACUUUCAACAUAAUUAUUGUAUAAUUUUUGUGCUUCCCACCCAAUGAGCUCUGCAAUUUUGAGACCGAUAUAUUAAGAUUUUUUCGGUCUCCUCGUAAAAUCAAGUGCAGCUUAUAGUAGUUGUACGGUAAUUAAUUUGGCAUCUUUUCAUUGCAAACUAAACAUAAUCGGGAAGUUACUGUUCAAAUUAGCAGAAUGUAUGCUUACCGAGGUGUUACAAUUUCUGUAUAUAUAUACCACAACUCUUGUCAAUUUCCUUUGUACCUGCUUUGUGAGAUCACCACAUGACAUAUACCACCAUCUUCUUGUAACAGAUAUAUCGUGGGUAGUUCAAAGUUAGCAAUCCUGAAAAAACAACCUCAAAACUCAAAGUUAGCAAUAUGAAGAAGUUGAGAGACGUAAAUAAAUCAAAUAUGGUCCAUUCUAGCUGAUAUUGCCAUAUCAUAUCUUAGAAGUCUGAUACAAUACCCGAUUUGGUUGAUUUUUGUGCCUCAUUCUAGUAAUUUCUUGUAAUGUUCUUCUUUUGUAAAACAUUUUCUUCUUCUUCUAGUGUUCCUUUCAUAGUUCUAUCUAUCUUGAUCAUUUUUGUUAAGUUUCUUCUGCACACAUAUGGAGUUAGUCAAGUAUAGUAAUAUUGGUUAACAAACAGAGCCACUAUUCAUUAGUUGAUAACUAAUAACUGAUAAAAGAUACUAUUCCAUACCUGCCAAGAAGUUCCUGGGCUUCGAUUAUAUCUAGACCUAUAUAAUUCUGGUGGAAUUGGUAAUCAAUGGUAAAUUUCUUAGGUAUUUUCCCUGCAAAUAACAAAAUAUCUUGUAACAUUACUGGAUUGAACUUCUGCACCGUCAAGGUCACAAUAGGGACAGUUUAGUUGUGGAUUAAAUCCUCAUUCAAAAAAUAAGGAAACUUUGUCCGUAACGUAACUCCUAUUUUUAUGACCCCUAGAGUUUUUUAUUAUUAUUGAUUCCACAUGCUUCAUUUGGAUGAUUAAUCCAAUCACAAUAAAUUUGGAGAUUAAUUGCUUCACAUUUAGAAAGAUUAAAUAGAUAAAAGUCUUAUUUCAAACUAUAGAGUAUAGAGUAUAGACAUACCUGAGCAUUGUUUAUUUCAUCUACCUGUUAUUGUACUUAAUACAUACCAAUUAUUAUAAUUAUAAUUUAACCUAUACAGAUAGUAGCAUGAACUCGGGUGGGCCUGUCAAAACAAUAAAAUAUAAUUAGGGAUUGUUGUCCGAAAAAUAGAGAAAUCUGUAACAUGUAAUGCAUUUUUUGUCCAUCAAAAUUAUAUCGAGGCUAAUAAGCUCAUCAACAAUUGUCGUUAAGUAAUUAAGCUUCUUGUAUGCCAUAUUUUUUGGGGUUUAAUAGGAGUUGGAAACAACUGAUAAAGUACCUAUGAAAAUUUUAUGUUGAUAAGUGAAUUUAGUAAUAGUAGUAUUUACUAACCUUGAUGAUUCAGGUUAGAGACAACUCAGAAGGUUGGGCCUGACUUUGUCGGGACUCGAGCUGAACCUGACAUUGAAGCUUGGCUAAUUUUCUUGUUUUUCCAUCACUGAAUCACUGGAUGCAUCAGAUAAUCGUCAGACUUCGAUUUUGCUGGUGGCGCAUUGGUUCAUAGCAGAUUAGGCUGACUUCGAUUUUCCAAAAAAUAUUGAUCCUACAUCUUGGGCUGCCCUGCGUGUGCUGGAUGUGGCCGGUCGAGUGCCUUUAUAUUUGUCAUUGGCUUGGCAGAGUCCAUGUGGAUUUUUUUCCAGAGGCGUAUGGCCCUUGCUGAUUAAUCUGUGUGGAGUUUUGCCUGCCUUAUUUGCACUCACCAAUUUGUGGUUGUGUCGGACACAUUGAUGGAGAUGGCUAGAUUUUUCUUUUUGAGGUUUGGAGACGUGCUAGAUGACAGGCGUCUGGGCCCUUGCUGAUUAAUCCGUGUCGAGUUUUGCUUGCCUUAUUUGCACUCACCAGUUUGUGGUUGUGUCGGACACAUUGAUGGAGAUGUGCUAGAUUUUUCUUUUUGAGGUUAGGAGACGUGCUAGAUGACAGGCGUGUCAGGCAACUAUUUGUACCCCAUAAUAGUUAUAUGUAACUUUUGUAUAUCUUUAAAUCUCAGCCAUUGUUAUCAAAUAUUGACGGUG